rnacentral:rRNA from 1 species
AUAAUGCAAGUCGAGCGAAUGGAAUUAAGAGCUUGCUCUUAUGAAGUUAGCGGCCCCACGGGUGAGUAACACGUGGGUAACCUGCCCAUAACACUGGGAUAACUCCGGGAAACCGGGGCUAAUACCGGAUAACAUUUUGAACCGCAUGGUUCGAAAUUGAAAGGCGGCUUCGGCUGUCACUUAUGGAUGGACCCGCGUCGCAUUAGCUAGUUGGUGAGGUAACGGCUCACCAAGGCAACGAUGCGUAGCCGACCUGAGAGGGUGAUCGGCCACACUGGGACUGAGACACGGCCCAGACUCCUACGGGAGGCAGCAGUAGGGAAUCUUCCGCAAUGGACGAAAGUCUGACGGAGCAACGCCGCGUGAGUGAUGAAGGCUUUCGGGUCGUAAAACUCUGUUGUUAGGGAAGAACAAGUGCUAGUUGAAUAAGCUGGCACCUUGACGGUACCUAACCAGAAAGCCACGGCUAACUACGUGCCAGCAGCCGCGGUAAUACGUAGGUGGCAAGCGUUAUCCGGAAUUAUUGGGCGUAAAGCGCGCGCAGGUGGUUUCUUAAGUCUGAUGUGAAAGCCCACGGCUCAACCGUGGAGGGUCAUUGGAAACUGGGAGACUUGAGUGCAGAAGAGGAAAGUGGAAUUCCAUGUGUAGCGGUGAAAUGCGUAGAGAUAUGGGAGGAACACCAGUGGCGAAGGCGACUUUUCUGGGUCUGUAACUGACACUGAGGCUUUAUUUUACCAAAUCCAACCAAGGAGUUAU